AUCACUUCAAAGAGUUUGUGAGUCAGUGAGAGGUCACUUGUGGUGGGGUUUUGAUCACAGAAUGAUGUGGAGACAUUGAUCUAUGUCACUGUGGUCAAUUUAGUGUCGUUUUCUAGGGACUGCCGUAUGAUUUUUCCAUUAUUUCACUGCACACAGCCCAAGAACUGAAUCAUCAAUGUUUCGAACUGGUGACAACAAGAGCUGGAGCAGGGACUGAGAACUCUGUCCUCAAAUCUGGAGCCAGAAAAAGUCAAAUUCUCAGCUGGCCACUGUAAAGAACCUGAGGUCGGCUAAGGAUGUGUACCAGAAGUCUGCUCUUAAUUAAACUGGGUGAGCGGGGAGGAACAGAAAAACCAAGAGAUGGCAGAAAUAAAUUCUCCGCAGCAUUCAAAGUAUUGAGUGUUUUCUGUGAAUAAAUAUGUUACUCUCUCUCUCUCAGUAAAGA